CAGUAGUUGCAGCAGUAGUAACAACAGCAGUAGUUGCAGCAGCAGCAACAGCAGUAGUUGCAGCAACAGCAGCAGCAGCAGUAGUAGCAGCAACAGCAGUAGUAGCAGCAACAGCAGUAGUAGCAGCAACAGCAGCAACAGCAGUAGUAGCAGCAACAGCAGUAGUAGCAGCAACAGCAGUAGUAGCAGCAGCAGCAGCAGUAGUAACAGCAGCAGUAGUAGCAGCAACAGCAGCAGUAGCAGCAACAGCAGUAGUAGUAGCAGCAACAGCAGCAGUAGUAGCAGCAGCAGCAGCAGCAGCAGCAGAGCAGCAGCAGCAGCAGCAGUAGUAGAAGCAGCAGCAGCAGUAACAACAGCAGCAGCAGUAACAACAGCAGCAGCAGCAGUAACAACAGCAACAGCAGCAGCAGUAACAGCAGCAGCAGUAGCAGCAGCAGCAGCAGCAGUAACAACAGCAGCAGCAGCAGUAACAACAGCAGCAGCAGCAGUAACAACAGCAGCAGCAGUAGCAACAGCAGCAGCAGCAGUAACAACAGCAGCAGCAGCAGUAACAACAGCAGCAGCAGUAACAACAGCAGCAGCAGCAGUAACAACAGCAGCAGCAGCAGUAACAGCAGCAGCAGCAGCAGUAACAACAGCAGCAGCAGUAACAGCAGCAGCAGCAGCAGUACCAGCAGCAGUAGUAACAGCAGCAGCAGCAGUAGUAACAGCAGCAGCAGCAGUAGUAACAGCAGCAGCAGCAGUAGUAACAGCAGCAGCAGUAGUAACAGCAGCAGCAGCAGUAGUAACAGCAGCAGCAACAGCAGCAGUAGUAACAGCAGCAGCAGCAGUAGUAACAGCAGCAGCAGUAGUAACAGCAGCAGUAGUAACAGCAGCAGCAGUACAGGCAACAGCAGCAGUAGUAACAACAGCAGCAGCAGUAGUAACAACAGCAGCAGCAGCAGUAGUAACAGCAGCAGCAGCAGCAGCAGUAGUAACCAGCAGCAGCAGCAGCAGCAGUAACAGCAUACAGCAGCAGACAGCAGCAGUAGUCAACAGCAGCAGCAGCAGUAGUAACAGCAGCAGCAGCAACAGCAGUAGUACAACAGCAGCAGCGGUAACAACAGCAGCAGCAGCAGUAGUAACAACAGCAGCAGCAGCAGUAGUAACAGCAGCAGCAGCAGCAGUACAACAGCAGCAGCAACAGUAGUCAACAGCAGCAGCAGCAG
rnacentral:lncRNA from 1 species